rnacentral:rRNA from 1 species
UACGUAGGGGGCAAGCGUUGUCCGGAAUUAUUGGGCGUAAAGCGCGUGUAGGCGGUCCGGUAAGUCCGCUGUGAAAGUCGGGGGCUCAACCCUCGGAUGCCGGUGGAUACUGUCGGGCUUGAGUACGGAAGAGGCGAGUGGAAUUCCUGGUGUAGCGGUGAAAUGCGCAGAUAUCAGGAGGAACACCGGUGGCGAAGGCGGGUCGCUGGGCCGAUACUGACGCUGAGGAGCGAAAGCGUGGGGAGCGAACAGG